CCUACGGGCGGCAGCAGUGAGGAAUAUUGGUCAAUGGACGAGAGUCUGAACCAGCCAAGUAGCGUGAAGGAUGACUGCCCUAUGUGUUGUAAACUUCUUUUAUAUGGGAAUAAAAUGUUCCACGUGUGGGAUUUUGUAUGUACCAUAUGAAUAAGGAUCGGCUAACUCCGUGCCAGCAGCCGAGGUAAUACGGAGGGUCCGAGCGUUAUCCGGAUUUAUUGGGUUUAACGGGAGAGUAGGUGGAUUGUUAAGUCAGUUGAUACAGUUUGCGGGUCAAACGUAAAAUUGCAGUUGAAACUGGCAGUCGUGAGUACAGUAGAGGUGGGCGGAAGUCGUGGUG
rnacentral:rRNA from 1 species